UCUCGUGCCACCUGCCAGCUUGUUUUCAUGAUCGUGUGUGACCUUGAAUAGAUGAGGUAUGACCUUUUUAUAUUCAGAUGCUUUUGUAAGCGAAAGUUUUUCUACAACAUCUUUCCUGAAGUUCAUCUCAUCCCCAUUCUAAAGGUCUGUGGAAUUUUCUGCUGCUUUUCUGAAUUCUAAGUGCAUUGAAAGAAGCUCCCUGGUGAUUGUUGAAUGCAGAGCUCUCUGCCUGCAUCAGGUUAAGACUCGGGAGCCGCGUGGAUGGGUUCGAAUCCCGGUUCCCACCGUGUGACCCUGGAUGCAUUAUGUAAUCUUUCCGUUCCCUCGUCUCGGAAGUGGAGACAAUAAACUCUCCCUCGUAGGACUGCUGUGAAGGCAGAACGAGUUCAUGCAUCUGUGCACUUCAGCAUGCCCGCACGACAAAGGGAAGCUGUGAUUAUUGUGCUAUGGGACCGAGGCCCCCAGAGGGAAGUCACUUUCCAGAGUGUGUAGGUUCUCCAUCCAGAGCUCGAGUCUUCUGAGUCUUGGGAGCAGUGGGUCCUGGUCUUCCAGCUCCCUCUCCUCGUGUGCCUGUCUGCGUGGACCUCAUUGAUCGGGAGUGAAUUCACGGCUGGUCCAACAU